AUGAAUCAAGCCGCCGCGCGCGGCCGGUAUACCUUUCCCGCUACCCUCCAGCAGCGCGGCCGUUGCCCUUUUCUUCCCCUCCUCACCCGCCCCAACUCCUCACCCCCAGCCUCCUCGGCCUCAACGCGGACGUCUCCGAUUUGGAUAGGAUUCGACGCCGCCACGCGCGGCCGGUCUUCCUCUCUAGCUAUCCUCCAGCAGCGCCGCCGUUGCCCUGUUCUUCGCCUCCUCACCCGCCCCAACUCCUCACCCCCAGCCUCCUCCGCCUCGAGGAGGACGGCUCCGAUUUGGAGCUCAAGUACUGCCUCCUGA
rnacentral:rRNA from 1 species